GAUGAACGCUGGCGGCGUGCUUAACACAUGCCAGUCGAACGAUGAAGCCCAGCUUGCUGGGCGGAUUAGUGGCGAACGGGUGAGUAACACGUGAGUAACCUGCCCUUGACUCUGGGAUAAGCCCGGGAAACUGGGUCUAAUACCGGAUAGGGGCGCCUGUCGCAUGACGGGUGCUGGAAAGAUCUUUCGGUCAUGGAUGGACUCGCGGCCUAUCAGCUUGUUGGUGAGGUAAUGGCUCACCAAGGCGACGACGGGUAGCCGGCCUGAGAGGGUGACCGGCCACACUGGGACUGAGACACGGCCCAGACUCCUACGGGAGGCAGCAGUGGGGAAUAUUGCACAAUGGGCGGAAGCCUGAUGCAGCGACGCCGCGUGAGGGAUGACGGCCUUCGGGUUGUAAACCUCUUUCAGUAGGGAAGAAGCGAAAGUGACGGUACCUGCAGAAGAAGCACCGGCUAACUACGUG
rnacentral:rRNA from 1 species